rnacentral:rRNA from 1 species
UACGAAGGGGGCUAGCGUUGUUCGGAAUUACUGGGCGUAAAGCGCGCGCAGGCGGCCUUGCAAGUCAGAGGUGAAAUCCCAGAGCUUAACUCCGGAAUUGCCUUUGAGACUGCUUGGCUUCGAGUACGGGAGAGGUGAGUGGAAUUCCCAGUGUAGAGGUGAAAUUCGUAGGUAUUGGGAAGAACACCGGUGGCGAAGGCGGCUCACUGGCCCGUUACUGACGCUCAGGCGCGACAGCGUGGGGAUCAAACAGG